GGCAGGCCUAACACAUGCAAGUCGAACGGUAACAGGAAGCAGCUUGCUGCUUCGCUGACGAGUGGCGGACGGGUGAGUAAUGUCUGGGAAACUGCCUGAUGGAGGGGGAUAACUACUGGAAACGGUAGCUAAUACCGCAUAACGUCGCAAGACCAAAGAGGGGGACCUUCGGGCCUCUUGCCAUCGGAUGUGCCCAGAUGGGAUUAGCUAGUAGGUGGGGUAACGGCUCACCUAGGCGACGAUCCCUAGCUGGUCUGAGAGGAUGACCAGCCACACUGGAACUGAGACACGGUCCAGACUCCUACGGGAGGCAGCAGUGGGGAAUAUUGCACAAUGGGCGCAAGCCUGAUGCAGCCAUGCCGCGUGUAUGAAGAAGGCCUUCGGGUUGUAAAGUACUUUCAGCGGGGGGGAAGGCGGUGAGGUUAAUAACCUUGUCGAUUGACGUUACCCGCAGAAGAAGCACCGGCUAACUCCGUGCCAGCAGCCGCGGUAAUACGGAGGGUGCAAGCGUUAAUCGGAAUUACUGGGCGUAAAGCGCACGCAGGCGGUCUGUCAAGUCGGAUGUGAAAUCCCCGGGCUCAACCUGGGAACUGCAUUCGAAACUGGCAGGCUAGAGUCUUGUAGAGGGGGGUAGAAUUCCAGGUGUAGCGGUGAAAUGCGUAGAGAUCUGGAGGAAUACCGGUGGCGAAGGCGGCCCCCUGGACAAAGACUGACGCUCAGGUGCGAAAGCGUGGGGAGCAAACAGGAUUAGAUACCCUGGUAGUCCACGCCGUAAACGAUGUCGACUUGGAGGUUGUGCCCUUGAGGCGUGGCUUCCGGAGCUAACGCGUUAAGUCGACCGCCUGGGGAGUACGGCCGCAAGGUUAAAACUCAAAUGAAUUGACGGGGGCCCGCACAAGCGGUGGAGCAUGUGGUUUAAUUCGAUGCAACGCGAAGAACCUUACCUACUCUUGACAUCCAGAGAACUUUCCAGAGAUGGAUUGGUGCCUUCGGGAACUCUGAGACAGGUGCUGCAUGGCUGUCGUCAGCUCGUGUUGUGAAAUGUUGGGUUAAGUCCCGCAACGAGCGCAACCCUUAUCCUUUGUUGCCAGCGGUCCGGCCGGGAACUCAAAGGAGACUGCCAGUGAUAAACUGGAGGAAGGUGGGGAUGACGUCGAGUCAUCAUGGCCCUUACGAGUAGGGCUACACACGUGCUACAAUGGCGCAUACAAAGAGAAGCGACCUCGCGAGAGCAAGCGGACCUCAUAAAGUGCGUCGUAGUCCGGAUUGGAGUCUGCAACUCGACUCCAUGAAGUCGGAAUCGCUAGUAAUCGUGGAUCAGAAUGCCACGGUGAAUACGUUCCCGGGCCUUGUACACACCGCCCGUCACACCAUGGGAGUGGGUUGCAAAAGAAGUAGGUAGCUUAACCUUCGGGAGGGCGCCUACCACUUUGUGAUUCAUGACUGGGGUG
rnacentral:rRNA from 1 species